AUUGAACGCUGGCGGCAGGCCUAACACAUGCAAGUCGAACGAGUGGCGGACGGGUGAGUAAUGUCUGGGAAACGGCCCGAUGGAAGGGGAUAACUACUGGAAACGGUAGCUAAUACCGCAUACCAUCGGAUGUGCCCAGAUGGGAUUAGCUAGUAGGUGGGGUAACGGCUCACCUAGGCGACGAUCCCUAGCUGGUCGGAGAGGAUGACCAGCCCACCUGGAACUGAGACACCGUCCUGACUCCUACGGUAGGCAGCAGUGGGGAAUAUUGCCCAAUGGGCGCAAGCCUGAUGCAGCCAUGCCGCGUGUAUGAAUAAGGCCUUCGGGUUGUAAAGUACUUUCAGCGAGUAGGCGUUACUCGCAGAAGAAGCACCGGCUAACUCCGUGCCAGCCGCCGCGGUAAUUC
rnacentral:rRNA from 1 species